GAAUGAGAGAAAGAGAAAUAGUCAAGCCUGCUUUUAGACUGCACAGACCUGGGCUAACCUGUUAAUGUCCUUGGAAUCUUUACCCCUAGAAAACAGAGGACAGUUAGUGCCGUAGACUCUGACCAGCUUGGUUUGUGACUCACUCUCCCUACUGGUGGGAAGUAGAAUCAUGACCGGAAACCUUGAUCUUGAGGAGAUCAAAAAACACAGAGCAAAGAUCAAGAAGAAGGGGAGUAGGAGCAAGAAAAACUCGAGCAUCCCUGCCGCAGUAGAGGAGAAAGUUACAAAGGAGUAGAGAAGAACACCAAUAUGGAUCAAGGAAGGAUUGAAAGACAGUAAAGGGCACACUAAGACUCUGUACAAAGAGGGAGAGAAGAUAUAGCGACACAGUUUACAGGACCUCAUUCGCACUCCAAUGACAAUGAAAGGAAGGGGGUGUUGGGCAGAGAAGCAAAGAGCUCCGGUUCUCACCAUCACAUGGUAGCGGGUGUAAGUUUGUUCCCAACAUACCAGACAGAGAGCAACUCUCACCAGAGAAGAUCCCAAUGUGUUUUAUGCUAGAUCUGACUUUAAUUAAGGGUAGACAAUGCUCCCAUCAGUGCUGGAACUGGCCCCGGUAACUUGCUUUAGCUGAUGGAAUGUUACCAAACACAACAUGAUCAAAGGCUUGAGAGAUGAUUUCCCUCCUGUGCUUCCGCAAUUACCAUGAAAAGAACAUGGCCUGGUGGUCCCUGAUCCCCAAAGAAUGACGGACACCUGGAAAAA
rnacentral:lncRNA from 10 species